rnacentral:siRNA from 1 species
UGUUUCAAAUUGCCUACUCAC